rnacentral:rRNA from 1 species
GACGAACGCUGGCGGCGUGCUUAACACAUGCAAGUCGAACGAAAUUAAAAAAUUAUCAUUGAGCUCUCCGAUGAGAUGGGAGCCAAGCGUCGUGACCGCGGAGCGGGCACCACGCGUUCAACAAGUGCAACACCAAGUCGAAGGGUUGAAUGGUAAUUUUUUAAUUUAGUGGCAAACGGGUGAGUAACACGUAGACAACCUGCCGACAGGAUGGGGACAACAUUCCGAAAGGAAUGCUAAUACCGAAUGAAGUCAGAGAAGGGCAUCCUUUUCUGAUGAAAGAUGGCCUCUUUUUAUGCUAUCACCUGUUGAUGGGUCUGCGUCUGAUUAGCUAGUUGGUGAGGUAACGGCUCACCAAGGCGACGAUCAGUAGCCGGUCUGAGAGGAUGAACGGCCACAUUGGGACUGAGACACGGCCCAGACUCCUACGGGAGGCAGCAGUGGGGAAUCUUCCGCAAUGGGCGCAAGCCUGACGGAGCAACGCCGCGUGAGUGAAGAAGGUCUUCGGAUCGUAAAGCUCUGUUGACGGGGACGGACGUGCGGAGUGCGAAUAGCGCUU